AUUGAACGCUGGCGGCAGGCCUAACACAUGCAAGUCGAACGGUAACAGGAAGAAGCUUGCUUCUUUGCUGACGAGUGGCGGACGGGUGAGUCAUGUCUGGGAAACUGCUUGAUGGAGGGGGAUAACUACUGGAAACGGUAGCUAAUACCGCAUAACGUCGCAAGACCAAAGAGGGGGACCUUCGGGCCUCUUGCCAUCGGAUGUGCCCAGAUGGGAUUAGCUAGUAGGUGGGGUAACGGCUCACCUAGGCGACGAUCCCUAGCUGGUCUGAGAGGAUGACCAGCCACACUGGAACUGAGACACGGUCCAGACUCCUACGGGAGGCAGCAGUGGGGAAUAUUGCACAAUGGGCGCAAGCCUGAUGCAGCCAUGCCGCGUGUAUGAAGAAGGCCUUCGGGUUGUAAAGUACUUUCAGCGGGGAGGAAGGGAGUAAAGUUAAUACCUUUGCUCAUUGACGUUACCCGCAGAAGAAGCACCGGCUAACUCCGUG
rnacentral:rRNA from 1 species